rnacentral:rRNA from 1 species
GACGAACGCUGGCGGCGUGCUUAACACAUGCAAGUCGAACGGAAAGGCCCUGCUUUUGUGGGGUGCUCGAGUGGCGAACGGGUGAGUAACACGUGAGUAACCUGCCCUUGACUUUGGGAUAACUUCAGGAAACUGGGGCUAAUACCGGAUAGGAGCUCCUGCUGCAUGGUGGGGGUUGGAAAGUUUCGGCGGUUGGGGAUGGACUCGCGGCUUAUCAGCUUGUUGGUGGGGUAGUGGCUCACCAAGGCUUUGACGGGUAGCCGGCCUGAGAGGGUGACCGGCCACAUUGGGACUGAGAUACGGCCCAGACUCCUACGGGAGGCAGCAGUGGGGAAUAUUGCACAAUGGGCGGAAGCCUGAUGCAGCAACGCCGUGUGCGGGAUGACGGCCUUCGGGUUGUAAACCGCUUUCGCCUGUGACGAAGCGUGAGUGACGGUAAUGGGUAAAGAAGCACCGGCUAACUACGUG